rnacentral:rRNA from 1 species
AUUGAACGCUGGCGGCAGGCCUAACACAUGCAAGUCGAACGGUAGCACAGAGAGCUUGCUCUCGGGUGACGAGUGGCGGACGGGUGAGUAACGUCUGGGAAACUGCCCGAUGGAGGGGGAUAACUACUGGAAACGGUAGCUAAUACCGCAUAACGUCGCAAGACCACAGUGGGGCACCUUCGGGCCUCACACCAUCGGAUGUGACCAGAUGGGAUUAGCUAGUAGGUGGGGUAAUGGCUCACCUAGGCGACGAUCCCUAGCGGGUCUGAGAGGAUGACCAGCCACACUAGAACUGAGACACGGUCCAAACUCCUAUGGGAGGCAGCAGUGGGGAAUAUUGCACAAUGGGCGCAAGCCUGAUGCAGCCAUGCCGCGUGUAUGAAGAAGGCCUUCGGGUUGUAAAGUACUUUCAGCGGGGAGGAAGGCGGUGAAGUUAAUAGCUUCACCGAUUGACGUUACCCGCAGAAGAAGCACCGGCUAACUCCGUGCCAGCAGCCGCCGCCG